rnacentral:rRNA from 1 species
UACAGAGGUCUCAAGCGUUGUUCGGAUUCAUUGGGCGUAAAGGGUGCGUAGGCGGCGAGGCAAGUCUGGUGUGAAAUCCCCGGGCUCAACCUGGGAAUGGCGAUGGAUACUGGGCAGCUAGAGUGUGUCAGAGGAUGGUGGAAUUCCCGGUGUAGCGGUGAAAUGCGUAGAGAUUUGGAGGAACACCAGUGGCGAAGGCGACCUUCUGGUCUGUAACUGACGCUGAGGCGCGAAAGCGUGGGGAGCAAACAGG